GGUUGUGGCUCAGCGGUAGAGCACUCGCCUAGCACGUAUGGGGCUCUGGGUUCAAUCCUCAGCACCA
rnacentral:tRNA from 1 species